rnacentral:rRNA from 1 species
GAGCGCAGGAAGCUGACGGAACUCUUCGGAGGGAAGGCAGUGGAAUGAGCGGCGGACGGGUGAGUAACACGUAAGGAACCUGCCUCAAGGAUUGGGAUAACUCCGAGAAAUCGGAGCUAAUACCGGAUAGUUCAACGGACCGCAUGGUCCGCUGAUGAAAGGCGCUUCGGCGUCACCUUGAGAUGGCCUUGCGGUGCAUUAGCUAGUUGGUGGGGUAACGGCCCACCAAGGCGACGAUGCAUAGCCGACCUGAGAGGGUGAUCGGCCACACUGGGACUGAGACACGGCCCAGACUCCUACGGGAGGCAGCAGUAGGGAAUCUUCCACAAUGGACGAAAGUCUGAUGGAGCAACGCCGCGUGAUGGAUGAAGGUUUUCGGAUCGAAAAACUCUGUUGUAAGGGAAGAACACGUACGAGAGGAAAUGCUCGUACCUUGACGGUACCUUAC